rnacentral:rRNA from 1 species
AUUGAACGCUGGCGGCAGGCCUAACACAUGCAAGUCGAGCGGGUGAAGGGAUCUUGCUCCUGGAUUCAGCGGCGGACGGGUGAGUAAUGCCUAUGAAUCUGCCUGGUAGUGGGGGAUAACGUCCGGAAACGGGCCCUAAUACCGCAUACGUCCUGAGGGAGAAAGUUUGGGAUCUUCGGACCUCACGCUAUCAGAUGAGCCUAGGUCGGAUUAGCUAGUUGGUGGGGUAAAGGCCUACCAAGGCGACGAUCCGUAACUGGUCUGAGAGGAUGAUCAGUCACACUAGAACUGAACCACGGUCCAGACUCCUACGGGAGGCAGCAGUGGGGAAUAUAGGACAAUGGGAGAGAUCCUGAUCCAGCCCUGCCGCGUGUGUGAAGAAAGUCCUCGGAUUGUAAAGCUCUUUAAGUUUGGAGGAAGGGCAGUCCGUUAAUCCCUUGCUGUUUUGACGUUACCAACAGAAUAAGCACCGGCUAACUUCGUG